rnacentral:lncRNA from 1 species
GCGCAAGCCCCGCCCACACACUCCCUAGCUGCCUGUGCCAACCAAACUGCUCCACGUGCGUCCCGGGUGUCAUCCGCAAGACAGUGGGUCGCGAUCCCCAGAACCCCUGUUACCACGAUGCUAAUAGAUGCCAAGGUGCGGAUGUGACUCUUCCCCGAGCUUCGAGGAGCCCCCAGCAGUACCUGAAAGGGGCGUGUGGCGACUGCGGAAAAGUGGCCUGUAGUGGGCGGGACCGCGGCACCUGACUCAGGUGUGUGAUCGGGAACUGCAGGCGACGUCGGGCGGCGCCUUCAGAAGUCGUACUAUCCAGUCUCUCCAGAGACCGAGAAUGUCUUCGGGAUACCAACCUCGUCCCUCUCUAGCCCAGAGAAGACCCUCCUCGCCCAGUUUCAGCCCGCGGGCUGCGCUCUUCUUUUCGGCCACCGGAGGGAGCCCUGAGCCCCCAUCCAGGCGCAGGUCCGGGUGGAUUUGUAGGCAACCCUUCCUGCUUUUGUGCCUGUCGGCGAAGAUCGUAAAACUGUGAGCCUUUCCCAACCCUUACAGGUCUCACCAACGGCGUUUCCUCAUCUAUAAAACGGGACUUAACGCCAACAUCCCUCCCAAAAGCGCAGUUGAGAGACGACCUAAUCAUGGAUACUCCUUUUGUGUGUGAGGGGCAGGGGGUCCUCAUGUAGGCCGGCCUAGCCCUCUCAAUUCGCUGAGUAGUUAAGGAGGACUUUGUGCUUCUGAUCCUCCUGCCUCCACCUCCUCUGUGUUGGGAUUACAGGCCAGGCGCCUCCCGGCCCCGUCUCAGCUCGGCCCAGCCUGUCUCCCUCCCUCCCGCUCGGUCCCCGCUUGGCUUCCACCCUCGUCGACCGCGACCCGCGCACUCAGCCCGGCGGCGCGAGAGCCACCAAGUACGCAACGGAGCGAGGGAGAUCGCGAGCAAUCGGCCCACCCCAGUCAGCCAGGGCGGGACCCCCGAAGCCCCGGAGGGACCCCUAACUCUCAGCCACGUCCCGAU